ensembl:lncRNA
GUUAUGGUCGGGGCCACGUGCCGCCGGCUCAGCGGGUCACGCGGCCCGGCCUCGCGCCGCCCCCAACCGUCACCCCGCCGCCCCCAACCGUCGCCGCCCGCCCGCGGGGCUGCAGCGUCCCCGGGGCUGCGCGGAGGGCGCUUCCCUCCCCCGCAUCCCUAGCAAGGGGGGGAAGGGCCGGACAGGGGGGUGUCCGGCGGGGAUCAGGUGCUGGCUGCGGAUCCCCGUGCCUGCUAAAUCCCUCUGCCUGAGGGGAGGCAGGUGGGAGCCUUCUGCUGCUGGCCCUGGGAAGAGACCACAGCUCACGGCUAGCGAAUCUCUCUCCCUCUGCGCUCUCCUGCGUCUUCAAGAUCAUUUUGUCGUUGUGUUGCUGCAACCAAUGCAGAUCCAAAUGCUGUGGCUACAAAGGCUUGUUACUUUCUUGCGCUGA